rnacentral:rRNA from 2 species
UAACAAGGUUUCGUAGGUGAACUGCGGAAGGAUCAUUA